UGGACCAAUGAAGAUAAUUUGUCUACAAACCAAGCAUUAUGAUUAACACAAUUCUGUGCAACUAAGGUCCAUU